CCUACGGGAGGCAGCAGUGGGGAAUAUUGGUCAAUGGGCGCGAGCCUGAACCAGCCAAGUAGCGUGAAGGAUGACUGCCCUACGGGUUGUAAACUUCUUUUAUAAAGGAAUAAAGUGAGGCACGUGUGCAUUUUUGUAUGUCCUUUAUCAAUCAAGCACGGCUAACUCCGUGCCAGCAGCCGCGGUAAUACGGAGGAUCCGAGCGUUAUCCGGAUUUAUUGGGUUUAAAGGGUGCGUAGGGGGGUUGUUAAGUCAGUUGUGAAAGUUUGCGGCUCAACCGUAAAAUUGCAAUUGAUACUGGCAGGCUUGAGUACAGUUGAGGUAGGCGGAAUUCGUGGUGUAGCGGUGAAAUGCUUAGAGAUCACGAAGAACUCCGAUUGCGAAGGCAGCUUACUAAGCUGCCACUGACAUUGAUGCUCGAAAGUGUGGGUAUCAAACAGGAUUAGAUACCCUUGUAGUC
rnacentral:rRNA from 1 species